rnacentral:rRNA from 3 species
UACGUAGGUGGCAAGCGUUGUCCGGAAUUAUUGGGCGUAAAGCGCGCGCAGGCGGUUUCUUAAGUCUGAUGUGAAAGCCCCCGGCUCAACCGGGGAGGGUCAUUGGAAACUGGGAAACUUGAGUGCAGAAGAGGAAAGUGGAAUUCCAAGUGUAGCGGUGAAAUGCGUAGAGAUUUGGAGGAACACCAGUGGCGAAGGCGACUUUCUGGUCUGUAACUGACGCUGAGGCGCGAAAGCGUGGGGAGCAAACAGG